UAUAGAAUUCAUUUUUGACCCGGAUG
rnacentral:piRNA from 1 species